AUGGAAAUCUACGAGGGAGUUUAAGUUGUCUGUCCAGAGGAUGAAAAUGUCAUCAAUAAAUUUCAGGUAUUUCAUUGGAUUUGUGGUGCCCUUGUCCAGGAAUUCUUCUGUAAGUUAGCUCAUGAAGAGUUUGGUGUAUUGGGGAGCUAUCCUAGCAGCUGGAAGCACACCGGUGUUUACUAUGGAAGCAAGAAAGUUAAUCACUUUAACGGACAAGUCUACAUACAAGGAAUUGAUGCUAUGGAAAGAAUCAAGGGGAAAUAUCAGAUUCUGAGACUUAAACAAGGAAUCAAUGAAGAAGCUUUCCUGAAGAAGGCAGAUGCCAUGCUGAAUGCUAAGACAACGUACAACUGUUUCACAAACAACUGCAUCCAUUUUGCACUUUUCCUUUUGGAUAUGGAAGAGUUUUACCAUGAAAUAGUGCCCCUGAACAUGACAGGACAAGUGGAUCAGAAUGAGUGCAACAGAGCCAGACAAUUCCAGAAUAACAUGUCACAGAGAGAGAUUCCCUUACGUCAUUUUCCAUAAGGACAUAAAAAAUAAUGCUUGUUAGGAUAUAGAUAUUCAAGUCUGUCUGUAAAGGCCUCUACUUUAAGAAUUUAGGUAUGUUUAUCAUUUAGCUAGUUUUAGAGCUAUAAAACAAAGAAUCAAAAUCACCGUCUGCCUGUGUAUGGGCCUUCUCUCACUGUGAUAGUCUGAGGCCUGGUUCUUAGGCUAAGGCCCUUGCUAAGCAGCAGAAGCAGUCAUAAGCUGGGAAGCGUAGGGUCACAUCCUCACAUUCCAAACUAGUCAUAUUGAAAUACGGUGCUAUUGGGCUGUUAGGAAUACAAUCCUGGCCUGAUGAUGUCUAUCAUCACCAGAUAAAGAUGGUUAAAGAAAACUUAGUUUGAUAGCAUCCUGUCUGGCAAGAAAUCACUAAUCAAUAGUUGUGGUUGUGAAACUCUCAUUUCUGUAUGUUUUAUCUCUAUGGCCCCCACUUUUCUAUUGUUAAUCUGUCUGGUUCUCUAAUGGUUUCUGUCUGCUGUAUAAUUAAUUUUGUUAGGUGCAAGUUAAUUAGGGUAGUGGUAUAUAAUUGGUUAGAGAAUUAUGUUACAGUAUGUUAGGAUUAGUUAGAUUUCAGUAGAAUGAUUGGUUAAGGUAUAGCUGAAAAUAUUACUAUAUAAAUUAGGGGCAAACAGGAAGUAAGUUGUGAUUCGAAAAUAAGGAAAAAGGAACUUGGAUAUUGUUGCUCUCUGUUCACACGAGAAGGAUGAGGGAAGUGGGAGGGUGAAGGAAUAAGCCCUCUAACAAUGCUGUACAAAACACUGUCUGAAGCAGAGGUUGCAUGAUAGGCUGCAUGGUGUAAUAGGCAAGGCCUCUUCCCAACUCUGGGGUCACUUCCCAACUCUGCCACUGAGCCUGUUUGGGGCCUCGAGAUGCUACUUAACCCAAUAAACAAACAAGCAGUAAAUAACCA
rnacentral:lncRNA from 1 species